GUGCCCCCAUUGGGAUCUCCCCAGCCCCCACUCACCAUGGCCAUCGCUUGGUUACCGAACCACGGCAGAAGAAAACCGGACAGGCAGCCAAGAUGUGUGGCUGCUGUCAAGCAACAGCAGGCUGGCCUGAUCUUAUCCCAACUCUGCCCCAGUGCUCCUGUGGAUUCCAACCCCUGGAUCAGGCCGAGCUCAUGAACUGGCCCAUUUGAAGUCACUUCUAUUUCUGGUUUUCCGGUGUUACACACACCUGUCGGGUCUUCUCGCACCGCCAGCAGUGAGUCUUCAUGAUGGAUGAAACCUUCUGAAAAUAAAAAUGUCGCCAACAGCUUGUGACUGGAGCAGCAUCGUCCCUCUGAUGUUUCCGGAGUACUAAGAAGACAAUGUCAUUGUCCAGACGUUGUCUUUGUUCAGCUGGCAGUUUCUUGCUUUUUUGGGGUGAAAAGUCUCCCUGUUUUGUUGUUGAUAAGAGGGAAAGAAUUAACAAGUCGUGGCUGUAAUUUGAAACCCUUUUUUUGAGUUUGAGCAUGCCUGAUUGGGAUCAUGGCAUGUGAACUGCUGCUGUGAAUAUAUAAAUUGUCUUUCCUUUUCAAAUCUGAAAAUGGGAGUCAAGCAGCUGGUGUUACUGAGUUCAAUGGAUAACGUUGCAGUCUAAAAGGGCUUGUUGACCUUUGUGACCCAUAAGAUGGCACAGUCCAAUCAGCUUGCCAAUACAUUUUUUAUUUUUUCUAACUUCACAAGUCCUACAAAUUGAGCAAAUGUGCAUUUAGUGUUUGACCCAGCGGAUCAUUUUUUUUUAUAGAUGUGUCUAUCUAACUUUCUAAUAUCCACAAAAUUUUGACCAUAUAAAUAAUACAUUUUUGUUUCAGUUAAAGCAGGUUCUGGGUUUUCUAGAUUAUUCAACAGAUCUGAAUCUUUUUAUGGCAUUAAUAACAAGUUUUGUUCAAUUGUGUGCAAUCCACCUUUUUAACCUUGUUUAUGAUGUUUAAAAAUCUUAUCAGAUGCCCUGUCGGUCAAAUAUAUACUGAUCCUUAGAUUUGUUUGUCUUAAAAUUGUCAGACUUCCUCUAACUCUCCUGUUGUUGUUGUUGUUGUUGUUGUUGUUGUUGUUGUUCUCGGGUCAAAUUUGACCCAUUUUCAAAAAGUUUCU